CGCAUCCCGUCUCCUGCCGGCAUGCUCCCUCAGAGUCGUGCGGGCUAUCGAACCCCGGUGCGGAAUGCAUCAAGGAAAACCAAAAGAAGCGUCCGCCCCCGGCAUCCCAUUCGCGGGGUGUGCUAUGGGAUCGGGUGUCUAUCAAAUGUCAAAAUGACUCUCGGCAAUGGAUAUCUCGGCUCUCRCAUCGAUGAAAAAUGUAGCAAAAUGCGAUACUUGGUGUGAAUUGCAGAAUCCCGUGAACCAUCGAGUCUUUGAACGUAAGUUGCGCCCAAAGCCAUUAGGCUUAGGGCACGUCUGCCUGGGCRUCACGCAUCGUGUCGU
rnacentral:misc_RNA from 1 species